CCAGACGGCUGGACGAUCGCUGUGCUGAUGGUGAGGACCAUCAGAAUGGAGGAAAGUCCGGGCUCCACAGGAAAACGGUGCCGGUUAACUGCCGGCGGGGGCGACCCCAGGGAUAGUGCCACAGAAAACAGACCACCCGCCGGGCUGUCUUUUUCGAAAGAUAUCUGCGGGUAAGGGCGAAACGGUGCGGUAAGAGCGCACCGCGGCGCCGGUAACGGCGCCGGUCACGGUAAACCCCACCGGGAGCAAGACCGAAUAGGAACGGCAGGAUGUUUCGACAUCCGGGGGUUUUCUGCCUCGUCGUUCGGGUUGGUCGCGUGAGGCAUGCAGCAAUGUAUGUCCCAGAGGAAUGAUCGUCCCGCCUUCGGGCGGACAGAACCCGGCUUACAGGCCGUCUGGCAUU
rnacentral:RNase_P_RNA from 1 species